AUUGAACGCUGGCGGCAGGCCUAACACAUGCAAGUCGAGCGGAUGAAGGGAGCUUGCUCCUGGAUUCAGCGGCGGACGGGUGAGUAAUGCCUAGGAAUCUGCCUGGUAGUGGGGGAUAACGUCCGGAAACGGGAGCUAAUACCGCAUACGUCCUGAGGGAGAAAGUGGGGGAUCUUCGGACCUCACGCUAUCAGAUGAGCCUAGGUCGGAUUAGCUAGUUGGUGGGGUAAAGGCCUACCAAGGCGACGAUCCGUAACUGGUCUGAGAGGAUGAUCAGUCACACUGGAACUGAGACACGGUCCAGACUCCUACGGGAGGCAGCAGUGGGGAAUAUUGGACAAUGGGCGAAAGCCUGAUCCAGCCAUGCCGCGUGUGUGAAGAAGGUCUUCGGAUUGUAAAGCACUUUAAGUUGGGAGGAAGGGCAGUAAGUUAAUACCUUGCUGUUUUGACGUUACCAACAGAAUAAGCACCGGCUAACUUCGUG
rnacentral:rRNA from 1 species